rnacentral:rRNA from 1 species
GAUGAACGCUGGCGGUAUGCUUAACACAUGCAAGUCGAACGGACUCUUCGGGGUUAGUGGCGGACGGGUGAGUAACGCGUGAGAACCUGGCUUUGGGUUCGGGACAACCACUGGAAACGGUGGCUAAUACCGGAUGUUCCGUGAGGUAAAAGGGAAAUUGUCUGAAGGUGAGGCCGCGUCUGGUUAGGUAGUUGGUGGGGGAAAGGCCCACCAAGGCAGCGAUCAGUCGCUGGUCUGAGGGGAUGACCAGCCACACUGGGACUGCGACACGGCCCACCCGCCUACUGGAGGCAGCAGUGGGGAAUUAUCCGCGAUGGGCGACGGCCUGACGGAGCAAUACCGCGUGAGGGAAGAAGGCUCUUGUGUUGUAAACCUCUUUUCUUAGCGAAGAACAUAAUGACGGUACCUAAGGAAUCAGCAUCGGCUAACUCCGUG